GCCGCGCAGGCCCCGGCCACACCCCGGCAGCCCGCGCCGCCCGAUCCGGAGGCCGGCACGCCCUCGGCCAUGGCUGGACCCGCCCGCGGCACCGAGGCGGCGAGCGGGCGGAGGCGCCGCACCGUCCGGCCGCCGCCGCUCCUGGGUGUUUACUUUAGAGCCCGGCGCGCGGGGGCCUAGGAGGCGCAUGGGGGCGUAGGGGACCGGCCGCGAACGUGAGCUGGGCGGGGCAGGGCCACGUGGCGGCGUGGGGCGCGGGGUCGGAGGAGGGCGGCAGAGCUCGUUUGGGGGCGGAGCUAGGGCGCGUGCGGGGCAGCCUGGGGGCCACGCGGGCCUCGGGAUGGCGUCGGGCCACGCCCUGCACCUGCUGUGCGGGUUUGGGAGGCGGCGUCCUCUCUCACAGGAUCAAACGCUCAUAGGACAGAAACACAAGUGCCGCUCUUACAAGCAAUCCAACAGGGAAACAACAAAGAAAAACCAACGGACGCACACAUUUUAAGUCAGGUCGCGGUGUUCGGUGAGCGGUGGUCGUCAAUCUGACUGCACUUCGGAAUCACUUGGGCACCUUUCAAAAACAUCACUGCCCCAGCGCCACCCCUAGAGGGUCUGAGGGCUGGCUGCUUUAAAAAGCCAUCCAGUAGGGGACAGCUGACCCCACGUCAGCCCCUCUCAAGCCAGGAACCAAGGGUAACGAUGUCUGGAGAGACUCCUUCAUAACCGGCAAGGAUGGGACGCCAACUGCGUGGGUAAGAAACAGGUUAGCAGCAGCCAGUUUCAGGCAGUGCCAGGAGACUCUGCUGGGGAAGGCAGAGAGGCCACAGUGACGGAGGACCCGCAGUGAUGGAGAAAGGAGGCCACAAGAUUCGCCUUCCGAGUGUCUGGCUCACGUUCUAGUUGAAAUUGAUGGGAACACGACAUUUACAGGCAUGUGAGUGAUGGGCAAAUCCAGCUUCACAUCAAGCACAUCUCUGCCAUUUCCUGAUCUGAAAUCCAUGAUUUGGAGCACCGCAGGGAUGCACCCCUUCUGCACAACUUGUUUUCCACCGAUCCACGGUUUUCCUUCCUACCAUUGCGCAGAGGUCACGUGAAAGGCGGGCCACAUGGUAUGUGACGGACAGUAUUAUCUACUGGGAACUCUGAGAACUUGUGGAAUAAGAAAGAACAGGCUUCAUUCAUCACUGAAUGCUUGUAGAGUAACACGUUUGAACUCUUCUGUUACAUUAAAAGUGGGAUUUUUUUUUCUGGAAGUCUGAUAGAAAACCAAGCGAAAACAAAAAUGGAAAGUGGUUUCCUUGUUUGCAAAGGAACAGUAGGAAUUUAAUAAGUCCUCUUGUUAGGCUGUCACAUAACCUCAAAAGGCACUUGUCCAAAUCAUGGUGGUGUGCAAAAUCAUAAAUCAUACCCUGAUUCAUUUAAUAACUUUCCAAGAGAACGGGCAAAGGCACAUUAAGUAAUUACUUUGGGCUUCUGGAAAUACUAUUUUAAAGGUUUUCAUGAGCAUGGAGGAAUUCAUUUUUUAAGGCAGUUUAAAAAUGGUAGCAUGAGCUGACUUUCUGACGUGACGAACCUUCAUCUUUCCUAACAGUUUACAUUAUUCUUUGGUAAAAACAUACUCUGACAGCUGCUUGGUCCUCACUGCUCUGCAUGGAAUUAUCUCAUGAUCUCCUUACCAUGAAAUGAAUUUCACUAAAGCAUCCCCAAACAAAGUCGAUGUUUGACUUAUCUUUCUGAAAGCUGCUAAAGGAUGGUAGACACCUUUCAAUGGGUUGUGCGACCCCCUCCUGCUAAUUCACAGUUGGAAUUCCCCAGCAGGGAGAGGCAAGAAGCUGCUUUAUAAAGAACAUCUGCCUGGAUGCUUUGUUACCGAACAAAGGUAAACAUCCCAAUACGUGCCAAAAGAUUGUUAAAGUCUGUUUGAUGAAAAGAAGCAUGUCUUCACCUGGGUUAAAAAACCACUAACAUUAAGACCCCAAAGAGCCAGGCCCAGACCUAAACAGUUUGUCAAGAUCAUCAUUCUCAAAUAUAAUUUUCAUGUGUCAUUGCUGUUCCAGAAGCUUAGAAGCUUGCUCAGUGCCUCUCAGCCUCAUCUACGUGCAGUUGAGCCAUCCAGGGAGAUCCAUCGCCCACCUGCCUCUGAUAAUUCCCACCCCCGGCAACCCCACCCUCGCCCAGACCGCUCAGCUGGGCAACACUUCUUAGAACCUUGACCAGGAAGCAGAUGAGCCGAGGGAAGCUGAGGUGAGAGGCCGUGGACGCAGGUGGGGAGAGCUGGAGAGGGCAGAUGUGUGAGAACCUUCUAGUCCCCAGGUGGCUCAGCGGUCCCUCCUGAAGUUGAGUCCCGCAGGAUUCCUCUGUGUUCUCCAACAAACUACCUUUACACUUGAGCUCCUUUGAGCAGAUUUCCUUGUGGCCAAUGGAUGCGUUUCUAAUACUUGUCAGGUAUUUUAUCUUCUCAGGGAGGAUUCUGGGAGGAGCAGGUCGGUCCCACACCAUCCUGGAGGUGAGCAUUUCAAAGUGUAUCACGGCUCAGCAGAGGGACGGCUAGGUUUGAGCCAUCACUCAACAAAUGUUUAUGAAGCACUUACAUGAGCUAUGCGUACUCGGGGCUGUGGAGACCUCAGGAAGGACACAUGGCGAUGGUACCUGCCCUGGUGGUACCCACAGCAAUCACUGCCCCUAACAAAGCCACAGGAGUGAAAACAGAACUACCCCCAAAUAUUCUGUGUAAGAGAACACAUUAGACAGUGGUUGAAGGUCUAGCAAGGACCUUGUCAGAGCGGGCACAUAGCUCAGGGUCCCAGGGUGGGCUCUUGGCAGGGAGCGUUGGGGAGAUACAGCCAGACCUCCGGGGCCCUCACUAAGGGGAGGGAGCAAGUCCCCACGGAGGGUGACUGAGGUCCAGCCAUGCCCAGCCGCAGACAUUGGCCCUGCUGCCACCAGAGGACAAGGCCAUGGUCUCUGAGUCCCAGCGGCCAGGGAAGAGGGCAAGGCCUGACAGGGGAUCCACGUCAGGUGGGUGUACGCCUGCAGCCCUGUGCAACUGUUUCUAGCUCUCUGCCGUUCUCAAGAGUGUCCUGGCCUAAACUGUACAUAACGUGAUCCUCCCACACACAAGCCACCUCCCUCCCCCUGUGGCCGAGGGCCAUCCUGGGGAAAGGCAGGGGAAGGAAAUGAACCUGAGAGAUAAAUCCUGUUUACCUAAGGAGACCAGGCAUGAUCUCAGAGGGCUGAAUGAAUCAUUACAUGGGCUCACUGUAGAAGAUCACACUAAAAUUUAGAUCUCUCCCCCGGUACCCUGCACACGCAGGAGAACACAGCACCCUUAGGGUCUCAGACAUGAGGCUGUAAGUCCACUCGAGUUGAAUUUUCUUGUUUGCCUCAUUUUACAGGGAGGAAAAGAAGGCUCAUAGAAACCAUGUCCAAAGCCACACAGUGUAUAAGUGGCCGCACGCACAGGGCCACAGGCUUAACCACUCUUGGGGGAGGUCUAAGUGGCAGUUUCCUCGUUUGUGAAAUGGGCCACUAUAGUAGCUACCACCGAGUGUAGCUGUGAGGCCAAAAGAAAGUGGAUAAAGCUUUGAGCAUGGAGCCUGGCACAUAGUAAGUGCUCAAUAAACUUGUGACUGUUGCCUAUGUCCAGCUGCCCUUGAAAAGGAAUUGUUAAAAUGAUUUCAGGGGGCUUCCCUGGUGGCGCGGUGGUUGAGGGUCCGCCUGCCUAUGCAGGGGACACGGGUGCGUGCCCCGGUCCGGGAAGAUCCCGCAGGCCGUGGAGCAGCUGGGCCCUUGAGCCAUGGCCGCUGAGCCUGCGCGUCCGGAGCCUGUGCUCCGC